AUGUCUCGGUCGCCACAUCUUCCUCCCCGCUGCCCGCCUCUGGGUCCUCAAAUCACAGGAAGAGAUGACAGCUUGUUCACACAGAGCUGCAGGUUUCCAUCAGAGGAUCCUUUCUUUGGUGAACCACCGUGUUGGCUAGAUGAUCUCCUUGCAGAUUCUGGGAAAAUGCCAAACCUUCCACUUCUUAGGAGAGCUUGUAGCGACUCUGAUGCUAUCUUGGAUGCGCUGAGGACAAUUCAGAGCCCAAUUUUUCCGAUUGAGGAGGCGGAUCUGCAACCAGCAGGUGAGACCGGGGACUCGUUGGAUGCUGCUGUAAGGGGUGAAAGUGAUUUGGGGGUUGAAGUUAGCUGUGUGUAUGGUCCAAAUUCACCAAGACAGAAGUGUAGGCUGACCAGUUCAGAGAGUUCCAUUGUAAAUGCUGUCCUGGAGAAUGUCCCUAGCAACCCCUUGCAGUACCUGACCAUUGACCCGUCAACCAGUCUGCAUGGCAAUGUGGCCAAUGCAAAAGGAGAUGCAUGCGAUGAUGUAAACCAUCUAGAUCAAGACAAGUCAUUUAAAAGGCGAUCAGGCCAAAGAUCUAGGGUCCGGAAACUUCAAUACAUUGCUGAUCUUGAAAGAACUGUUGACUCUCUUCAGAUCAUGGGAGCUGAUUUGGCUGUAAGAGUAGCAUCUCAUUUCCAGCUUCGCAAUGCUCUAUCAAUAGAAAACAAGCAACUGAGGAGACAGAUUGCUAGUCUUCAGCAGGCAAAACUAAUGAAGGAUGGUCAAACACAUUUCUUGAAGAAGGAAACUGAGAGGUUGAAGCAGAUCUCUGUGCGUCACCGCAGGAGCAGGAGUGUCACUUCUUGCUUUGAGCCGGGCUCAAUUGGAGCAGACCCAUCAGCAAUCAAUUGGCAGACAGUUGACAUGUCAAAGCUGAGCUUAAACGGCAGUCCUGCUCCUGUGCCCCCGAGAGGUGGCUAUGGCCUGUAA
rnacentral:rRNA from 1 species